rnacentral:rRNA from 1 species
UACGUAGGGUGCAAGCGUUAAUCGGAAUUACUGGGCGUAAAGCGUGCGCAGGCGGUUUUGUAAGUCAGAUGUGAAAUCCCCGGGCUUAACCUGGGAACUGCGUUUGAAACUACAAGGCUAGAGUGUGACAGAGGGGGUGGAAUUCCACGUGUAGCAGUGAAAUGCGUAGAGAUGUGGAGGAACACCGAUGGCGAAGGCAGCCCCCUGGGUUAACACUGACGCUCAGGCACGAAAGCGUGGGGAGCAAACAGG